AGAGUUUGAUCCUGGCUCAGGAUGAACGCUGGCGGCGUGCUUAACACAUGCAAGUCGAACGGGAAUGUUUCGCUGAUGCGAUUUCGGUCAAAUCUUGAAGCAUUUUAGUGGCGGACGGGUGAGUAACGCGUGGGUAACCUGCCCUGUACAGGGGGACAACAGCUGGAAACGACUGCUAAUACCGCAUAAGCGCACAGCUUCGCAUGAAGCAGUGUGAAAAACUCCGGUGGUACAGGAUGGACCCGCGUCUGAUUAGAUAGUUGGUGAGGUAACGGCCCACCAAGUCAACGAUCAGUAGCCGGCCUGAGAGGGCGAACGGCCACAUUGGGACUGAGACACGGCCCAAACUCCUACGGGAGGCAGCAGUGGGGAAUAUUGCACAAUGGGGGAAACCCUGAUGCAGCGACGCCGCGUGAGUGAAGAAGUAUUUCGGUAUGUAAAGCUCUAUCAGCAGGGAAGAAAACAAUGACGGUACCUGACUAAGAAGCCCCGGCUAACUACGUGCCAGCAGCCGCGGUAAUACGUAGGGGGCAAGCGUUAUCCGGAUUUACUGGGUGUAAAGGGAGCGUAGACGGUAGACCAAGUCUGAAGUGAAAGCCCGGGGCUCAACCCCGGAACUGCUUUGGAAACUGGUAAACUAGAGUGCAGGAGAGGUAAGUGGAAUUCCUAGUGUAGCGGUGAAAUGCGUAGAUAUUAGGAGGAACACCAGUGGCGAAGGCGGCUUACUGGACUGUAACUGACGUUGAGGCUCGAAAGCGUGGGGAGCAAACAGGAUUAGAUACCCUGAUAGUCCACACCGUAAACGAUGAUUACUAGGUGUUGGAGGAUUGACCCCUUCAGUGCCGCAGUUAACACAAUAAGUAUCCACCUGGGGAGUACGACCGCAAGGUUGAAACUCAAAGGAAUUGACGGGGGCCCGCACAAGCAGUGGAGUAUGUGGUUUAAUUCGACGCAACGCGAAGAAUCUUACCAAGUCUUGACAUCCUGCGACGCACAUAGAAAUAUGUGUUUCCUUCGGGACGCAGAGACAGGUGGUGCAUGGUUGUCGUCAGCUCGUGUCGUGAUAUGUUGGGUUAAGUCCCGCAACGAGCGCAACCCUUACUGUCAGUUACUACGCAAGAGGACUCUGGCAGGACUGCCGUUGACAAAACGGAGGAAGGUGGGGAUGACGUCAAAUCAUCAUGCCCUUUAUGACUUGGGCUACACACGUACUACAAUGGCGUUAAACAAAGAGAAGCAAGACCGCGAGGUGGAGCAAAACUCAGAAACAACGUCCCAGUUCGGACUGCAGGCUGCAACUCGCCUGCACGAAGUCGGAAUUGCUAGUAAUCGUGGAUCAGCAUGCCACGGUGAAUACGUUCCCGGGCCUUGUACACACCGCCCGUCACACCAUGAGAGCCGGGGGGACCCGAAGUCGGUAGUCUAACCGCAAGGAGGACGCCGCCGAAGGUAAAACUGGUGAUUGGGGUGAAGUCGUAACAAGGUA
rnacentral:rRNA from 1 species